CGAUACUGCUAGACUUGAGUAAUGGAGGGGCAGGUGGAAUUCUCGGUGUAGCAGUGAAAUGCGUGGAUAUCGAGAGGAAGACCAAUGGCGAAGGCAGCUGCUGGACAUUUACUGACGCUGAGGUACGAAGGCCAGGGUAGCGAAAGGGAUUAGAUACCCCUGUAGUCCUGGCAGUAAACGGUGCGCGCUUGGUGUAGGAGGACUCGACCCCUUCUGUGCCGGAGCUAACGCGUUAAGCGCGCCGCCUGGGGAGUACGGUCGCAAGACUAAAACUCAAAGAAAUUGACGGGGACCCGCACAAGCGGUGGAGUAUGUGGCUUAAUUCGAUGCAACGCGAAGAACCUUACCUAGGCUUGACAUGUAUUGCUAAGCACGUGAAAGCGUGUGACCCUUCGGGGACCUUACGCAGGUGCUGCAUGGCCGUCGUCAGCUCGUGUCGUGAGAUGUUUGGUUAAGUCCAGCAACGAGCGCAACCCCUGUGGAUAGUUGCCAGCAAGUAAUGUUGGGGACUCUAUCCAGACUGCCCAGGUCAACUGGGAGGAAGGUGGGGAUGACGUCAGGUCAGUAUGGCCCUUACGCCUAGGGCUGCACACGUACUAC
rnacentral:rRNA from 1 species